rnacentral:rRNA from 1 species
GUAGAGCACUGUUUCGGCUAGGGGGCCAUCCCGGCUUACCAACCCGAUGCAAACUGCGAAUACCGGAGAAUGUUAUCACGGGAGACACACGGCGGGUGCUAACGUCCGUCGUGAAGAGGGAAACAACCCAGACCGCCAGCUAAGGUCCCAAAGUCAUGGUUAAGUGGGAAACGAUGUGGGAAGGCCCAGACAGCCAGGAUGUUGGCUUAGAAGCAGCCAUCAUUUAAAGAAAGCGUAAUAGCUCACUGGUCGAGUCGGCCUGCGCGGAAGAUGUAACGGGGCUAAACCAUGCACCGAAGCUGCGGCAGCGAACGUAUCACCCAAGACAACUUUACGGAGUUGACGAUUGACGGAGCGAAGCGACGUCAAAGCGUUCAUUAAAGUCGAGUUGGCUUAGGGAUACGUUCGUUGGGUAGGGGAGCGUUCUGUAAGCCUGUGAAGGUGUGUCGUGAGGCAUGCUGGAGGUAUCAGAAGUGCGAAUGCUGACAUAAGUAACGAUAAAGCGGGUGAAAAGCCCGCUCGCCGGAAGACCAAGGGUUCCUGUCCAACGUUAAUCGGGGCAGGGUGAGUCGACCCCUAAGGCGAGGCCGAAAGGCGUAGUCGAUGGGAAACGGGUUAAUAUUCCCGUACUUGGUGUUACUGCGAAGGGGGGACGGAGAAGGCUAUGUUGGCCGGGCGACGGUUGUCCCGGUUUAAGCGUGUAGGUGUGUGUUCCAGGUAAAUCCGGUU